GUCUGGUCUAACACAGGUGUCAGUAACAUCACUAACGACUUCCUACUGGGACGCUGCAGUGACGCACAGCCCUGAUCGGCGUUAUUAGUUCCACCUGUGCAGGUCACAACGCCUGCUGUGAGAUCUGCUUUUUACAUCACUAAGAUUCUUGUCAAGCAAACUGUGCGCUCAAUACAGGCCUUGCAGGGUUCAUGCAGAGUGACACCGCCAGGCACCACCGUGCUGUCAUACCGACUGUCCUGGAGGAGGCGCUGAAGCCUGCAGACAUCGACUGUGUGUCUUACACCAACGGGUCUCCGGGGGCCCAGGGAGGUUCUGGGGCCGGUCCUUACAGCAGAGCGCUCUAA
rnacentral:lncRNA from 1 species